CCACCUCCGCGGGCUGGCUGCUCCCUGGGUGGGGUUGGGAGAAUAUCUCUUCAAAAGGCUCACCCUCAAGCACAACUAGGAGU
rnacentral:pre_miRNA from 1 species